rnacentral:rRNA from 1 species
CACGUAGGCACCAAGCGUUGUCCGGAUUUAUUGGGCGUAAAGAGCUCGUAGGCGGCUUAGUAAGUCGGAUGUGAAAACUCGGGGCUCAACCCCGAGACGCCAUCCGAUACUGCUGUGGCUUGAGUCUGGUAGGGGAACACGGAAUUCCUGGUGUAGCGGUGAAAUGCGCAGAUAUCAGGAGGAACACCGAUGGCGAAGGCAGUGUUCUGGGCCAGUACUGACGCUGAGGAGCGAAAGCGUGGGGAGCAAACAGG